rnacentral:rRNA from 1 species
GAUGAACGCUAGCGGCAGGCCUAAUACAUGCAAGCCGAACGGCAAGUCUGAUAGCAAUAUUAGACCUAGAGUGGCGUAAGGGUGCGUAACACGUAUGCAAUCUACCCGCAACAGGAGGAUAGCUCGGGGAAACUCGAAUUAACCUCCAUAAGAUCUUAGACCGGCAUCGGUUAGAGAUUAAAUCUGAGGAGGUUGCGGAUGAGCAUGCGUCUGAUUAGCUAGUUGGCGGGGUAAUGGCCCACCAAGGCGAUGAUCAGUAGGGGAACUGAGAGGUUGAUCCCCCACACUGGCACUGAGAUACGGGCCAGACUCCUACGGGAGGCAGCAGUAGGGAAUAUUGGACAAUGGGUGAAAGCCUGAUCCAGCCAUGCCGCGUGCAGGAAGAAGGCCUUCUGGGUUGUAAACUGCUUUUAUCUGGGGAUAAAAAGGACUUGCGAGGCAAACUAGAAGGUACCAGAAUGAAUAAGACCACGG